rnacentral:tRNA from 3 species
GGCUCCUUAGUCUAAAGGUUAGGACGCUGGCCUCUCAAGCCGGAAAUGAUGGGUUCAAGCCCCACAGGAGCUA